rnacentral:rRNA from 1 species
GACGAACGCUGGCGGCGUGCUUAACACAUGCAAGUCGAGCGGUAAGGCCCUUUCGGGGGUACACGAGCGGCGAACGGGUGAGUAACACGUGGGUGACCUGCCCUCAGCUCUGGGAUAAGCCUGGGAAACCGGGUCUAAUACUGGAUAUGACUCCAUGACGCAUGUUGUGGGGUGGAAAGCCUUGUGCGGCUGAAGAUGGGCCCGCGGCCUAUCAGCUUGUUGGUGGGGUGAUGGCCUACCAAGGCGACGACGGGUAGCCGGCCUGAGAGGGCGACCGGCCACACUGGGACUGAGACACGGCCCAGACUCCUACGGGAGGCAGCAGUGGGGAAUCUUGCGCAAUGGGCGAAAGCCUGACGCAGCGACGCCGCGUGAGGGAUGACGGCCU